UUUUUUUUUUUUUUUUGAAGUACACAUUUAAAUUAUCUAGAGGGUGCAGCCUGGGUGGCCCAGUGGUUUAGCACCACCUUCAGCCCAGGGCAUGACCCUGGAGACCCAGAAUCGAGUCCCGCAUCAGGCUCUCUGCGUGGAGCCUGCUUCUCCCUCUGCUUUUGUCUCUACCUCUCUCUCUCUCUCCCCCCAUGUGUGUCUCUCAUGAAUAAAUAAAUAAAAUCUUUUAAAAAAUUAAUAAAUAAUCUAGAGGAUUUGUUACAAAAAAUACUUAACAAAAAUUGUGCACCCAAUAAUUCUACACACUGAACUGGUCAUUGUAAGACAUUAAGACUUUAAAGAAACAGAAGUACCAAGUCUUAAUAUUCUUAUAAUUUGGCUAAUAUCUUCACCUGAUUCAAAACAACCAUAAAUACUUAUAAUUGUACACCUAAGGUAAAUGCUUUAUAAUUUAUUUUCAGUACCACUCAAAAUUACACCCUUAAGUUUCUUCAAAGAUACUUUUGGCUAUGACACCUAGCCAGUAGAUCACUAUAUGCAAAUUAUUUAUCUUUGAUCAAAAAAUGCAAGUAGUCCCUACUUUUUAGCUGCUAUAAGCAGCACUGUCCCUGUUCUUCAACUCAUAGUUUUCAUCACUCUGGAGGCAAAAGUAGUUUGAACAGCCAACUUUACACACAAUCAUUUUAAGACAGCACCCAAGGAAUAUAUCUCAUUUAGAAAACAGAGAGACACCUGGGUGGCUCAGUGGUUGAGUGUCUGCCUUUGACUCAGGUCGUGAUCCCAGGGUCCUGGGAUGAAGUCCUGUAUCAGGCUCCCUGUGAGGAGCCUGCUUCUCCCCUCUGCCUAUGUCUUUGCCUCUCUCUGUCUCUCAUGAAUAAAUAAAUAAAAUCUUUAAAAAAAGAAAGAAAGAGAGGAGAGAAAGAGAGAAAGAGAGAGAGAGAGAGAGAGAGAGAAAGAAAGAAAGAAAGAAAGAAAGAAGAAAAGAAAAGAAAAGAAAAGAAAAGAAAAGAAAAGAAAAGAAAAGAAAAACAGACAACACCUAAAACAGCCAAUCCAAGUGUUGUAAUGGAAUGAAGCUCAUACUGUAUUGUUGGCAGAUUUGGCAGUUGUCUACUCUAGCGUUCCAUAAACUACAGGUCAAACCCAACCUACCUCCUGUUUUUAUGUAUAGUUGACCCUUGAAGAACAAGAGUUUGAACUGCACUGAUCCACUUACACAUGAAUUUUUUUCAAUAAAUACAGUACAGAAUUGUCAAUAUAUUUCCUCUUCUUUGUAAUGUUCUUAAUAACAUUUUUUCUCUAGCUUAAUUUAUUGUAAGAAUGUCGUGUAUGAUACAUAUAACCUACAAAAUAUGUAUUAGACUAUGUUAUCAGUAAAGCUUCAAGGCAACAGUAGGCUAUCAAUAGUUACAUCUGGAGUGAGUCAAAGGCCUACACAAAUUUUCAACUGCCCAGGAGGCUGGUACCCCAAACCCUUGCAUUGUUUGAGGGUCCGCUGUUUACUGGAACACACAAUCACACUCAUUUGCUUAUAUACUAUCUAUGGCUACUUUCACACCACAAGAGCAGAACUCAUUUGUUGCACCAGAUGUGGUCCACAAAAUCUAAAAUAUUUACUGACUGGCCCUUUGAAAAAAAAAAAAAAAAAAAAGCUUACCAACCCCUAAAACGUCUUCUCCACACAAUGAGAUGUUAGAGGCAACACAUAAUGUCUCCAAGCACCAUCUCUAAAGUAAGUGAAUUGAGCUGCUCUCAGCCUCGGUGUAGGUUUUUAGAUCAUCUGAUGCUAAAACACAAAUGUAGACCCAAGCCUCUUUAAUCAUCCAGUAUCAACCCCAAAGGUGCCAAGGCAAAGCACAAUGAGGUUACCACUCCCUCCUACCAGAGUCACACCUUUCCCACUAUCUUUACUAGUAAAUCAUGUCAACCUGAAAAUGCUGUCCUUAAAGUUAAUCUAAACAUGGUUUCACCUGCAUAAAAUAUGUUGCGGAAAAUAGAGGGGUGGAGAAGGCACCCAUAUGGCACAUAUUUCAGUCCUGUACCUUCAUCUUAGGAUCAAUUGAGAUCUGGCUCCCUACCUAAAUACAUCUCUUCCCCAGAGGGUUCUGCCAUUUGAAUUAAACUCUUAAGAAGAGACCAAAGAAGCUAGUAGGAAGGUGACAAACUGAAUGAAUUAAAGAAUACAAAAAGUGUGGAUGCGUAUAUAUUACUGACCUUACAAUCCUUACUCUUUGUUAGAGUCAACACUAAAAACAAGGCCCAUUAGCUGCAGGUUUCACCACACACACAAAAAAAAUCUUCCAGUGUCUCAUGCUUCAAAGACAGAUGAAUUUUGUCGAUGCCAAGUUGUUUCUGUUUGUUUUUUAAUAAAAAGGUUUAAAAAAAAAAAAAGGCAUUUUCAGCACUGCUGUGCCAACACAGGGAUAUCCCCUCCAUUGUAUGGGACACAAAGACACAUCAACUGCAAGCAGGGGAAGCAGCCUUCUCUGCCAGCUAUUUUUAGCCCUACUUCACUCGUCAUGUUAAAGACCAAACUUAGGAUAAUAAUGCUGGGCAAACUUUAAAAGCAUGAAUUUUAUGAAAACAAACCUGUCCUUUUAUAUAGAAGUUCCUUAACUGUGAAAUCCUAUAUACUCUUCUGAACUUAAUCUCAAGGGACCUAUAUACUCUACAGAAAGCUUGUUAGCUACUUCACAAAUAUAGACUCACAUGUCCAAACACUGAAGUGGUAGCCAUGUUUAAAGCCUGUUCCUCCCUUUUGAACUUCAAAUCUUACACACUUCUAAAAUAUGUGUUUCGGGAGAGUCUCAUCCAUUCUCUGUUCUUACUA
rnacentral:lncRNA from 1 species